AACGAACGCUGGCGGCAGGCUUAACACAUGCAAGUCGAGCGCCUCGCAAGAGGAGCGGCAGACGGGUGAGUAACGCGUGGGGACGUACCCUUAUCUUCGGAAUAGCUCUGGGAAACUGGAAGUAAUACCGAAUGUGCCCUUAGGGGGAAAGAUUUAUCGGAUAAGGAUCGGCCCGCGUUGGAUUAGCUAGUUGGUGGGGUAAAGGCCUACCAAGGCGACGAUCCAUAGCUGGUCUGAGAGGAUGAUCAGCCACAUUGGGACUGAGACACGGCCCAAACUCCUACGGGAGGCAGCAGUGGGGAAUAUUGGACAAUGGGCGCAAGCCUGAUCCAGCCAUGCCGCGUGAGUGAUGAAGGCCUUAGGGUUGUAAAGCUCUUUCACCGGAGAAGAUAAUGACGGUAUCCGGAGAAGAAGCCCCGGCUAACUUCGUG
rnacentral:rRNA from 1 species